CAGUCGAGGGGCAGCGGGGAGGAAGCUUGCUUUCUCCGCCGGCGACCGGCGCACGGGUGAGUAACACGUAUGCAACCUGCCCCUGUCAGGGGGACAACCCGCCGAAAGGCGGGCUAAACCCGCGUACAUGCCACCGGGGCAUCCCGGAGGCAGGAAAGGCUUCGGCCGGACAGGGAUGGGCAUGCGGCGCAUUAGGCAGUAGGCGGGGUAACGGCCCACCUAACCGACGAUGCGUAGGGGUUCUGAGAGGAAGGUCCCCCACACUGGUACUGAGACACGGACCAGACUCCUACGGGAGGCAGCAGUGAGGAAUAUUGGUCAAUGGUCGGGAGACUGAACCAGCCAAGCCGCGUGAGGGAGGAAGGUACAGAGUAUCGUAAACCUCUUUUGUCAGGGAACAAAGGCGGGGACGUGUCCCCGGAUGAGUGUACCUGAAGAAAAAGCAUCGGCUAACUCCGUGCCAGCAGCCGCGGUAAUACGGAGGAUGCGAGCGUUAUCCGGAUUUAUUGGGUUUAAAGGGUGCGCAGGCGGUCUGUUAAGUCAGCGGUCAAAGCCCGGGGCUCAACCCCGGCCCGCCGUUGAAACUGGCAGUCUCGAGUUGGAGAGAAGUAUGCGGAAUGCGCGGUGUAGCGGUGAAAUGCAUAGAUAUCGCGCAGAACUCCGAUUGCGAAGGCAGCAUGCCGGCUCCACACUGACGCUGAGGCACGAAAGCGUGGGUAUCGAACAGGAUUAGAUACCCUGGUAGUCCACGCAGUAAACGAUGAAUGCUGGCUGUCCGGGGGGAUUGACCCCUGGGUG
rnacentral:rRNA from 1 species